AACGAACGCUGGCGGCAUGCCUAACACAUGCAAGUCGAACGAGACCUUCGGGUCUAGUGGCGCACGGGUGCGUAACGCGUGGGAACCUGCCCUUAGGUUCGGAAUAACUCCCCGAAAGGGGUGCUAAUACCGGAUAAUGUCUUCGGACCAAAGAUUUAUCGCCUUUGGAUGGGCCCGCGUUGGAUUAGCUAGUUGGUAGGGUAAAAGCCUACCAAGGCGACGAUCCAUAGCUGGUCUGAGAGGAUGAUCAGCCACACUGGGACUGAGACACGGCCCAGACUCCUACGGGAGGCAGCAGUGGGGAAUAUUGGACAAUGGGCGAAAGCCUGAUCCAGCAAUGUCGCGUGAGUGAUGAAGGCCUUAGGGUUGUAAAGCUCUUUUACCCGUGAUGAUAAUGACAGUACCGAGAGAAUAAGCUCCGGCUAACUCCGUG
rnacentral:rRNA from 1 species